GACUGAACAGUCUCAUAGCAAGGAAAUAUAGUGCUAAUGUGAAUCCCAGAAGGAUCUUGCCAGCGGUGUCCAUAGAAGUGUUGGUCCCUGGGAUCACGGAAGACAUCAGUGGACAUUUGAGCUCAGGUUCUCAGAGGAGGGUGGCACCCACACUUGCCAAGUCUUGGAACUCCUUGCAUCGACUUAUAGAAGCUUGGCUAAACAACUCACAGGAACUUACCUUGGGAAAUUUGUCUGGAUUCUGGGAUGAAAGAAAUAUUCUACUGGAAUUUCUGUCUCCAGACAGCACCAGCCUGUGCUGCCAGCACCCUGUAGGGGUGGGUAAGGGGAGGCCAGAGUCUCAGAAAGGAGCAAGGUUAUGUAGCAGGGAAGAAAAAAAACCCCAAACCCAGCCAUGGAUGAAGCUUCACUAAUUAUUAGACAUAAUACCGUCCCUGUUUCCCUAUUUGAAUUCCUAGCCAUUCUCAACUAGGGGUCCUAAGUAAUGCAGUAUAUUUUAAAACAUGGAGUAAAAGAAAUGAAACUAGACAGAAAAAUGUGAAACUAGAAGUAAAAUGAACACAGGUUCUCAAACAUGCUAACCUUAACUUUCAGUACACUUGCUGGUGUGAAUCACAAAGCCAACCCAGAAGGAAUU
rnacentral:lncRNA from 1 species